rnacentral:pre_miRNA from 1 species
AAAGUACUCCCUCCGUCCCAAAAUUCUUGUCUUAGAUUUGUCUAGAUACGGAUGUAUCAAGUCACAUUUUAGUGUUAGAUACAUCCAUAUCUAGACAAAUCUAAGACAAGAAAUUUGGGACAGAGGGAGUAGUUG